rnacentral:rRNA from 1 species
UACGUAGGUGGCAAGCGUUUUCCGGAUUUACUGGGCGUAAAGAGCGCGCAGGCGGUCGUAUAAGUCGAAUGUGAAAGCCCCCGGCUCAACUGGGGAGGGUCAUUCGAUACUGUUCGACUUGAAGGCAGGAGAGGGAAGUGGAAUUCCGGGUGUAGUGGUGAAAUGCGUAGAUAUCCGGAGGAACACCAGUGGCGAAGGCGACUUUCUGGCCUGUUCUUGACGCUGAGGCGCGAAAGCUAGGGGAGCAAACGGG